GAGGAUGUAGCUCAAUUGGUGGAGCACAUGCUCAGCAUGCACAAGGUCCUGGGUUCAAUCCCCAGUGCCUCCU
rfam:Camelus ferus unplaced genomic scaffold scaffold258, whole genome shotgun sequence.